rnacentral:lncRNA from 1 species
UGAAUUUCAGCGUUGAAGAUAAUGAAAAUAAUGUUGAAACAUCCGACAGGGAGUUGUGCCACCUAAUAUCAAUUCGAAAAUCCUUGACUUGGCACUCUUGAGGACUUAAUCAUCUCUGUUCCAGAAGAAGAAUGCAUACCAAUGGGGGUUGUGAAUCAAAUAAUUGACCCUUUGGUGAUUGUUUCAGCCAAGAAAGGGUGUCCAGCAAUAGAUUUAAAUUCUAAGAUCAUGGCAAAACAUUUUUGGGGCAGGUCUUCGAUGUAUUUGACAGUCAGGUCAGGAAACUGAUUUGUACAUGGUUAGAUUUAAUUCUUUGCAGCAUGCACAUUACUGAACAAGGCAUUCAGGUUGGAAUGGAAUAUGGAAGUAUAUUUUGCCUCGCAGACUCAUCAAUCAUCAUACUGCCUUCGUGGAAGGAAGCGACGCGUCAUGGGGUAAUGAUCAAGAGCCACCGGAAGGGUGUUUGGACUAUUCAGACGAUGAACAAGAGCGUCGAGCCAAAGCCGCACAUCAAUUGAUAAAGAAUCUUCGCGGUGAUGCUGAGGAGUGAGGAUGCCUCUGUGAAUCCAUGCAAGAAAGGCAAACAAAAUUCCGUCGCUCGAGGGGUCAAGGGCAAGAUCACCUAAUAGAACAACCGCAAGUGAAUCCAUUUUACCUGCUUCCACCUCCAGGUUACCGGGUUACCCAGCACAUAACCCUCAUCAUAAUUCCAGUUAUUUAAGUGUAGCCCCUAAUGUAAAUCCAAUUGCCGUCGAUAUUUCGACCAUGGAAAAUUCGGCAAUUCACUCGCCAUCUGUUUAUCCACCAGCAAUGCCAAUCACUCAAAAUCUUCCUCUCUCCUUGCCUUCUGGUGCAGCAGAAAAUCACAAGGCUCAACCGAAUGAUUAAGAUUCGCUUCUCCAACCUGACAGUGACAUUAAAAAACCGCCAAUUUCAUCGUUGAUUAGUGAACCGAGCUGUGAGCUGUAGAAGUGACAAACGCGCGAUGUGAAAUAUAAAAACCAAAUUUCCAACUUUUCAACUUGCUGCAAAAAUUGUGUGUGUGUGUGAGAGCAGCAUCUUUCAUCUAAACCUGGCAAUGUGUAUCAGCAAAAUGUCAUUCAAGAUUGAAGCAUCGAAGUGUCAUGAAAACCACUAGACGAAGUUACGAACAACAUAGAAAUCAAGGAAGAAUCAUGGUGUAUGGUGGAAGAACUACGAGAAGAACUUGGCGGUUUAUUUGAUGGAGAAUUCAAAUUCAGUCCGCAGUAUUUCUAAAGAUGAGACAGUCAGAGACAAAACGCAUAUCCGGACGACAUCAACAAUUUUAAAUGCGCAAAGGAUUCGCAAUAGAUGCCUCACUCCAACGAAUGUGGAAUACUGGAAGUAUUGCUUGACCUCCGGCCAAGCUGGCUUUCGUCCAUGACAGUGGUGACUUCCACUAACUUUCUGCUCCAUCCUCAUCUUCGCGACCCACGCUCAUCCAGCUCCACUGCUUCUAUACUGCUACACAGAUUGUCUUACCACUGACGAGUUCUGCCACUUCAGUGGUCGCUUCCGUCCGCUGUGACACACCUGUCCGUCUCACCAGGGUAUUAUGCCCAGGUACCCGACAAUUAACUUAUUUUUGUAAAUUACCUCCUGAUAAUCUAAAUCUACUUGCGUUUAACUCUCUGUCUGUGUAAUAAUUCCAAAAUCAGGCCCU